CUAUGUUUCAAUGUUUAUAGCUUUAAUGUUAUGCAUUUGCAUUGAAAUGAAAAUAUACAAUGAAAUAUUAUUAAACUAAACCUUGCAAAAGCGAUACAAAAUGCUACGACGGUUAAUGCAUUUCGUAUAUCUGAAACGUUUAUUUGCUUGUCUAGCAAUAUAUUACAUUUCCCAAACCGUGAAAGGCUAUUGGAUGUACAAAAAUGGAUUUCCAGUGGUAAAUUCAACUUGGAUACCUACAGACAUGCAACCAAAAGACGUAUUUCAAUUCGUGGGAAACGACGUAGAAAUGAUUGUGUACGCUGCUUACUAUGAUGAAAGGAUACACAAGGUACGUGUAAUUGGUGUGUCGAAAAUCAAGUAUGCCGCUGUCCAUUGUUUAAUGAGUUACUCAAGCCAGUUUGAAUCAAUACAUACAGAAGCUGCAGUUGUUGUAAUUCAAGACCAUAAAAAUUUAAC